CACGUAGGGUGCGAGCGUUGUCCGGAAUUAUUGGGCGUAAAGGGUGCGUAGGCGGUCUGACAAGUCUGAUGUGAAAUCUAUGGGCUCAACCCAUAGUCUGCAUCGGAAACUGUCGGGCUUGAGUAUGGGAGAGGUGAGUGGAAUUUCCGGUGUAGCGGUAGAAAUGCGUAGAUAUCGGAAGGAACACCUGUGGCGAAAGCGGCUCACUGGACCAUUACUGACGCUGAGGCACGAAAGCUAGGGGAGCAACAGG
rnacentral:rRNA from 1 species